UACGGAGGGUGCGAGCGUUGUCCGGAAUCAUUGGGCGUAAAGGGCGCGUAGGUGGCCCGGUCAGCGUGCGGUGAAAGCUCGGGGCUCAACCCCGAGUCGGCCGUGCGAACUGCUGGGCUUGAGCACUGUAGAGGCAGGCGGAAUUCCGGGUGUAGCGGUGGAAUGCGUAGAUAUCGGUAGGAACACCAGUGGCGAAGGCGGUCUCCUGGGGCAUUCUUGACGCUGAGGCGCGAAAGCUGGGGGAGCGAACGGG
rnacentral:rRNA from 1 species